GGGAGCGGGGGGCGGCGUAGAGGACGACGAAAUGAGACCAAAUUUUCUUUGGCAAUCUCCGUGUUCCUGCUGCAGGUGCUGGGGCCAUUUCACUAAAGCAGGGCCAGACGCGAAUGUCAUUAGUUCCUGAGCCCCAGGUGAAUUUGCCACAGUUCCACAUGAUUAACCCAGAUAAUUGUGUGUUGAUAGCGAGCAUGGUCGAUGGAAUACAAUUUUCGGGCCCAGAUUCCUAAACAAACAGCUCAGCAGCAGCAGCCACCGCGGUGAGCCAGGGAGACGGGAUAACAGCAGAAUACCGUCACGUACCGAGGUUUACAAAGAGACGGGGUGAGGUGAGCUCGCCAUCUUUACCUCAAUUCGUUUCAAGGUUUUCUCAUUGCUGAUUGGCUCCUGGGUUUCUUUGUCCCUUAUCUGAACUCACCUGAAGCACAUUAUAUAAGAACUGCAGCUAAGUUUAGCAGUCCAUGUCAAAUGUGAUUGGGUGGUAAAGCAACAACAUCUUUUCCCACUUUGAUGGCAGACAAAACCUCCAAUUCCAGGUCAAGUAACAGCACAAAAAUCAAGACUACCACGGCUCUGUGAGGUUUUUCAAAUCUAUUUUUCCUGCAUGUGUUCACCAUGGCUCUUGCUUUCAAAUAAAACUUGCUGA